GCGCCUCCGCCGCCUCCGAGGGUCGUCGGGAGCGGGCGGGGGCGGGGCCAAGCGUCCACCCGACCUCGGGCGGCGGGCGGACCGCGGGUCCUGGCCCACGCGCCCUUCUAGGGAGGAGGCAGAGCCGUGUCGGGCGGGACCGUUGUCGGCCGCCGCUGGCCCGGCUUUCCGCUACCGGGACGCGCUCGCGGUCGAGUCCCUAGAAGUGACCUCAAAAAAUCAAAACGGAACUACUUUCUCUGUCCCUCCCCACCUUUUCAUAGGAGUUCACGAAACUCCAGAGACUUCCCCCGUAGGUCGACAUCCUUCCUGUGUUUAAGGUGAUGAUUGUAAAACAGUUAAGAAGCCGUUGGAUGUUUUGCUCCCUUGUGGCACACAAUUGGAGACGUGCAACUGUGCCACAUUAAAAACAGAACACUGCUGGCCUCAAAACACACCUGCCACCUCUGACAGCAUCCACUUCCCUCCCCCUUAUGACUGCUGCCUUUUUCAAAAUGAGAGUGUUUGGAAUGAUUUCCUGGCAGUAUCCAUAGUGGUUGCUGAGCCUUCUAAAGAAUGCUUUGAUGCCUUGCUGUGUAUCAGUCUUUCGAUUUCUUUUUGAGAAUGGGAGCCUUAGUGCAAUUAAGAGACGACCUCAAAAAAAAAAAAAAAAAAAAAGUUGGACAAAUGAAGAGUGUAUUUUCUCAUCACUGGUAUUAUUUUUCUAGAAGAAAUUACAGCAGAGAUUAGAAAUCUAAUACAAAAUGUCGUAAUCAUGUUCUCUUCUUUGAGGUAGACUAAAAGAGCAUCAUUAUAUUUGAAGAAACCAAGAUUGAAUGUUCAUUGGCUUGGCAGUUUUUAACACAGUGCAGUUUGGAACAUGUCCCCGUUCUUGUGGAUCACAUUUAUGGAAACUCUUAAAGGACUUUAAUGCCCCUCCCUAAUCCUUUUUCUACUGUAAAACCUCAUUAAUAUAUCCUCAAUGUAUAAUUUAUUAGUAAUAAGGAUUUGGGUCAUACGAGAUUUAAAACUUUGAGAUAAGUUGGAUAUUCGGAAUAAUGUAAUGAUUUGUAAUAUAGGUCUUAAACAUUUAAAUAGCUUAACUCAUUAAGACUAGUCAUCAGCUGUAUUUGAGUACAUAUUCCCCACAGUAAAGCUAUUUUCAAUAAUAUUACUAUGCAUCUUUGUAAGUGCCUUAUAAUUUGGGCUUUUAAAAAUUGCCUGCGCUUUCUUCCCUUAAUUUAGCCCAUUUACUCCCAAAAUAAAGAGGCUGUGUUUCUUUUCUUUUU